UACGGGGGGGGCAAGCGUUGUUCGGAAUUACUGGGCGUAAAGGGCUCGUAGGUGGCCAACUAAGUCAGACGUGAAAUCCCUCAGCUUAACUGGGGAACUGCGUCUGAUACUGGAUGGCUUGAGUUUGGGAGAGGGACGCGGAAUUCCAGGUGUAGCGGUGAAAUGCGUAGAUAUCUGGAGGAACACCGGUGGCGAAGGCGGCGUCCCGGACCAACACUGACACUGAUGAGCGAAAGCCAGGGGAGCAAACGGG
rnacentral:rRNA from 1 species